rnacentral:rRNA from 1 species
CGCUAUCACUCCUACGGGGAGGCAGCAGUGGGGAAUAUUGCACAAUGGGGGAAACCCUGAUGCAGCCAUGCCGCGUGUGUGAAGAAGGCCUUCGGGUUGUAAAGCACUUUCAGUAGGGAGGAAGGUAGUGUAGUUAACACCUGCAUUAUUUGACGUUACCUACAGAAGAAAGCACCGGCUAACUCCGUGCCAGCAGCCGCGGUAAUACGGAGGGUGCGAGCGUUAAUCGGAAUUACUGGGCGUAAAGCGCAUGCAGGCGGCCUGUUAAGUCAGAUGUGAAAGCCCGGGGCUUAACCUCGGAAUUGCAUUUGAAACUGGCAGGCUAGAGUCUUGUAGAGGGGGGUAGGAAUUUCAGGUGUAGCGGUGAAAAUGCGUAGAGAUCUGAAGGAAUACCAGUGGCGAAGGCGGCCCCCUGGACAAAGACUGACGCUCAGAUGCGAAAGCGUGGGGAGCAAACAGGAUUAGAUACCCUGGUAG